ensembl:snRNA U6 U6 spliceosomal RNA
GUGCUCACUUCGGCAGCACAUAAACUAAAAUUGGGACGACACAGAGAUUAGCACGGCCCCUGCGCAAGGACAUGCAAACUCGUGAGGCGUUCCAUAUUUUA